rnacentral:rRNA from 1 species
GACGAACGCUGGCGGCGUGCUUAACACAUGCAAGUCGAACGGAAAGGCCUCUUUCGGGGGGUACUCGAGUGGCGAACGGGUGAGUAACACGUGAGUAACCUGCCCUUGACUUUGGGAUAACUUCAGGAAACUGGGGCUAAUACCGGAUAGGAGCUCCUGCUGCAUGGUGGGGGUUGGAAAGUUUCGGCGGUUGGGGAUGGACUCGCGGCUUAUCAGCUUGUUGGUGGGGUAGUGGCUUACCAAGGCUUUGACGGGUAGCCGGCCUGAGAGGGUGACCGGCCACAUUGGGACUGAGAUACGGCCCAGACUCCUACGGGAGGCAGCAGUGGGGAAUAUUGCACAAUGGGUGGAAGCCUGAUGCAGCAACGCCGUGGGCGGGAGGACGGCCUUCGGGUUGUAAACCGCUUUCGCUCAUGACGAAGCUUUGUGUGACGGUAGUGGGUAAAGAAGCACCGGCUAACUACGUG